GUGCCAGCAGCCGCGGUAAUACGUAGGUGGCAAGCGUUAUCCGGAAUUAUUGGGCGUAAAGAGAGAGCAGGCGGUCAUUUAAGUCUGAAGUCAAAAGCAGUAGCUCAACUAUUGUUCGCUUUGGAUACUGGAUGGCUAGAGUUCGAGAGAAGUAAGCGGAACUCCAUGUGUAGCGGUGAAAUGCGUAGAUAUAUGGAAGAACACCAGUGGCGAAGGCGGCUUACUAGCUCGAUACUGACGCUCAGUCUCGAAAGCGUGGGUAGCAAAUAGGAUUAGAUACCCUAGUAGUCCACGCCGUAAACGAUGAGUACUAGUGUUGGGGAAACUCAGCGCCGAAGCUAACGCAAUAAGUACUCCGCCUGGGUAGUACGUUCGCAAGAAUGAAACUUAAAGGAAUUGACGGGGGCCCGCACAAGCAGUGGAGCAUGUGGUUUAAUUCGACGCUACGCGAAGAACCUUACCAGGACUUGACAUCUGAUUAAAGGCUCUAGAGAUAGAGAGAUAGUUAUAGUCAAGACAGGUGGUGCAUGGUUGUCGUCAGCUCGUGUCGUGAGAUGUUGGGUUAAGUCCCGCAACGAGCGCAACCCUUGUCCUUAGUUACCAUCAUUAAGUUGGGGACUCUAGGGAGACCGCCGGUUUAAGCCGGAGGAAGGUGGGGAUGACGUCAAAUCAUCAUGCCCUUUAUGUCCUGGGCGACACACGUGCUACAAUGGCCGGUACAAAGAGACGCGAUACCGCGAGGUGGAGCAAAUCUCAUAAAGCCGGUCUCAGUUCGGAUUGGAGUCUGCAACUCGACUCCAUGAAGUUGGAAUUGCUAGUAAUCGCGAAUCAGCCAUGUCGCGGUGAAUACGUUCCCGGGCCUUGUACACACCGCCCGU
rnacentral:rRNA from 1 species